rnacentral:rRNA from 1 species
AACGAACGCUGGCGGCAUGCCUAACACAUGCAAGUCGAACGAAGGCUUCGGCCUUAGUGGCGCACGGGUGCGUAACGCGUGGGAACCUGCCCCUCGGUUCGGAAUAACAGUUAGAAAUGACUGCUAAUACCGGAUGAUGACUUCGGUCCAAAGAUUUAUCGCCGAGGGAUGGGCCCGCGUAGGAUUAGCUAGUUGGUGGGGUAAAGGCCUACCAAGGCGACGAUCCUUAGCUGGUCUGAGAGGAUGAUCAGCCACACUGGGACUGAGACACGGCCCAGACUCCUACGGGAGGCAGCAGUGGGGAAUAUUGGACAAUGGGCGAAAGCCUGAUCCAGCAAUGCCGCGUGAGUGAUGAAGGCCUUAGGGUUGUAAAGCUCUUUUACCAGGGAUGAUAAUGACAGUACCUGGAGAAUAAGCUCCGGCUAACUCCGUGCCAGCAGCCGCGGUAAUGUAGACG